rnacentral:rRNA from 1 species
GAUGAACGCUGGCGGCGUGCCUAAUACAUGCAAGUCGAGCGAACAGACGAGGAGCUUGCUCCUCUGACGUUAGCGGCGGACGGGUGAGUAACACGUGGAUAACCUACCUAUAAGACUGGGAUAACUUCGGGAAACCGGAGCUAAUACCGGAUAAUAUAUUGAACCGCAUGGUUCAAUAGUGUAAGACGGUUUUGCUGUCACUUAUAGAUGGAUCCGCGCCGCAUUAGCUAGUUGGUAAGGUAACGGCUUACCAAGGCAACGAUGCGUAGCCGACCUGAGAGGGUGAUCGGCCACACUGGAACUGAGACACGGUCCAGACUCCUACGGGAGGCAGCAGUAGGGAAUCUUCCGCGAUGGGCGAAAGCCUGACGGAGCAACGCCGCGUGAGUGAUAAAGAUCUUCGGAUCGUAAAACUCUGUUAUUAGGGAAGAACAAAUGUGUAAGUAACUAUGCACGUCUUGACGGUACCUAAUCAGAAAGCCACGGCUAACUACGUG